rnacentral:lncRNA from 1 species
UUUCGAAGUGAGUUAAGGUCUUUACUGCAAGUCACACGUAAAUUUGUAUUUAGUGGCAGCGGGUGACUCGUGGUACGAGUCGGUGAGUUCCGGGACAGUCCGUGGGUCCCGGCGGAGUCUCGGUGCGAUUACGGGACUUCCGGCGUAUUACGGCGAUCGGUUUGGGAAACCGAUUCUCGUGGGUUUAUUCGUGGGGUUAUGCUUUUAGGGUUUCU